UCCCUGGCCUGGGAACUUCUGAAUGCCGUGGGAGGAAAAGGAUGGUAUUGCAGAAAAUACAGACCUACGGAGGAAUGAAGACUGCCAAACAUGGACAGGGAAGCUGAGCAUUGCAUUUUGAGGUCUGGUCGUGAGGCAUUUCAAGUCCUUUGGUAGAUCAAGAUCUCCACCUGUGAGAAAGGUACUUUGCUGGUAAUACUGUUACCUCUUUUCUCUGAGGGGUGGGAUUAUGCAAAACUUUUACUUUCUAAAUUAAUUUUUUCUUUUUUUUAGGACGGCACCCACAGCAUAUGGAAGUUCCCAGGCUAGGGGUGGAAUCAGAGCUGUAGCUCUGGCCUACACCACAGCCACAGAAAUGUGGGCUCUAAGCUGUGAAUGCGACCUACACCACAGCUCAUGGCAACGCCGGAUCCCUGACCCACUGAGCGAGGCCAGGGAUUGAACCUGCAUCUUCAUGGAUACAAGUCGGAUUCAUUUCCACUGUGCAGCAAUGGCAACUCCCUUAAAUUAAAUAUUUCUGAAAGGUUCAAAAUUUUUCAAUGUUCACGGGUUGCUUUUGUAAUUAGAAAAAAAUA
ensembl:lncRNA